rnacentral:rRNA from 1 species
GACGAACGCUGGCGGCGCGCUUAACACAUGCAAGUCGAGCGAGAACCAGGGCCUCGGCCCUGGGGACAGCGGCGAACGGGUGAGUAACACGUGAGUAAUCCACCCUCGGCACCGGGAUAGCCCGGGGAAACCCGGAUUAAUACCGGAUGGCCCGACAGCUCUUCGGGGCGGUCGGAAAAGGUAGCUUCGGCCUCUGGCCGAGGACGAGCUCGCGGCGGAUUAGCUUGUUGGUGGGGUAACGGCCUACCAAGGCGACGAUCCGUAGCUGGUCUGAGAGGACGAGCAGCCAGACUGGGACUGAGACACGGCCCAGACUCCUACGGGAGGCAGCAGUGGGGAAUCGUGCGCAAUGGGCGAAAGCCGGACGCAGCGACGCCGCGUGCGGGAAGAAGGCCUUCGGGUUGUAAACCGCUUUCAGGAGGGACGAAGCCACUCGGGUUAAUAGCCCAGAGGGUGACGGUACCUCCAGAAGAAGCCCCGGCUAACUACGUGCCAGCCGCCGCAGUAACAC